UCGCCCUUGAGUUUGAUCAUGGCUCAGAAUGAACGUUGGCGGCGUGGAUUAGGCCUGCAAGUCGAGCGAGAAACCCUCUUCGGAGGGUGGACAGCGCCAAACGGGGUAGUAAGGCAUCGGUAACGCACCCCCAGGACCGGGAUAGCCGAGGGAAACUUCGGGUAAUACCGGAUAAUAUCUCCGGAUCAAAUGGUGAGAUUCCGCCUGGGGACCGGCUGAUGUGAUACCAGCUAGUUGGUAAGGUAACGGCUUACCAAGGCGUAGACGUCUAGGGGGUGUGAGAGCAUGGCCCCCACCACUGGGACUGAGACACUGCCCAUACACCUACGGGUGGCUGCAGUCGAGAAUCUUCGGCAAUGGGCGAAAGCCUGACCGAGCGACGCCGCGUGCGGGAUGUUGUCUUUUGGGUUGUAAACCGCUGUCAGAGGGGAUGAAAUUCCAGAGAGCUAUCUCUCUGGGAUUGACAAAGCCUCAGAGGAAGCCCGGGCUAAGUACGUGCCAGCAGCCGCGGUAA
rnacentral:rRNA from 1 species